UCUUCUUAGUCUUCCCAUAUGCCAAUUCAAACAGCGAAAGAAUUCAGAUGGGCGUAACUCUAAAUGGAUCAUGCACACAGACUUUGGAACAAUAACUCAUCAAUUCACGACGAGGCGCCGUUUAAGCGCGAGCUGCUUGGGUUUCUGCACAUGUCCACGCAUGGGGACCAAUAACAGAUUCGAUCAUAGUAGUCCUCGGAGUUAGUAGCACUGGAUACUUGGCAGGAAUCUGGAGAACAAGUUGUGCACUUGAGCGUCAAAAGCCAAUGGCUGUUUGUAACUAAUUGACAUCGGUACUUUUCGUGACGUAGAUGCGAGUUAACGCGAUUCUCGGGAAUAGUUCGUGGUUUGAACAUAUGCAUUGCUGCAAAGACCUCUGCCUUUACAAGUGUUUGACAUUUGCUUGUGGAUUAGAUACUAUGGUGUUAUGGGUCACCUCAAGUUUGGCACUCAGAGAUGAAAGGUCAUCAUUGUCCACUGAGAGGAAAAGGAGACCUUGGAAAUCAGUGAUAAAACACGGAAAUGAACUGACCUCGGAUCAGGAGUCGGAAGACGAGCGGAGAGUGGGAGUAGCGAUAGUGGUGGAGGAGUAAACCCGGAGCAGGUGAACACAGCUGCAGACCGCCAUGGGCUCUCUUCCAUUGGUCCCGACUCUCCAUCUUCUGGUCUCUGAGAGACGGCAGGGGCCAGCCAGGGAGCGUCGGAGUGGGCAGGCGAGGCAGCUCGCUUUCCCCGCCGGCUACCGGCUCCUCGGCAGCGAGGAAGGAGAGAAAUCAAUACUGAAGAGAGAUGCUGCCAGGGGUCGCCCAACGUUGCCUCCAGCCAUAGAGCCAUGGGAGCCCGAGUGUUCGGCUUUCUCUCUCUCGCAGCCCAAUCUCAGUCAACUCGUAUCAGCUAAAGCGAGGGCCAACAGCCUUGACGCUCUUCAUGCAACACCGAUUGUGUGUGUGCUUGCUUGUGUGGUUCUGCCAGAGGGCCUUUACAGGAUCGGCAUCACUUGAUAAAACUUUGCCUGCUGGAGAACAAGUAGAAAAAGAAUGUCAAAGGUCUUUCUUUCCCCCAUCUUUGAUUCCUAUUUCACCAUAAGUGCACAUUCCCCCUGACUGUUGUAAUGAGUGCUUGACAGAGAUCUCUUUUACACUAAAUCAAGAGGCCUUCUUUUUUUAGUGGUCCUCCUCCUGAGCAUGCACAAAGUGCUCUACAUCUGAUGGGCUGGGAUGAGAGAGCAGUUUGAAUCCUUUUUCCACCUGGUUUUAUCUGAUUUUUUUUUUUUAUGGACGCCACUAUUCGAGAGGCUUGGAAAAAGGACUUGGCCUUGAUUUGUAGGUGAAGGGUUUGGCGCCUACCCAUCCUGGGCACUUUGUAACCAUUUUCACCCUUGACCGUGGCACUUGAUGUGUAUUAAUAACAGUGAGGACCAAUCGAGCACAGUGCAAGAUGGAGAAGUUCCAAAAAAGUUGAUCCCACUGGGAUGUGGACAACUGAAACAUGGCCUGAGCUAGAUAUCAACAAUUCGAAAAGUGGAGUGCCUGGUGGCAGUGGAUAUUUCCUGUAUCUUUGGAUGCUCAACGAGAAGUUGGAUUCGGUUUUGGACUAAAUCUUGAUCACCACAGACAAUCAAGAGGAGAUGUUUUUUAUUUAAUUACAGUAGAUAACUGUUUUUCAGUAAGACUGUGUUGUUUUUGUUGAAUCUCUUUUUUUGUCAUCAAGUAAGUAUUUUUGGACAAUAAAGGUAAG